CAGAGCUCAUUAGCAGCCAGCCAGCUUGCCCCUGCAGUUCCAGCUGACACCACUGAGGGGCGCUACUGUAUUAGGUUCCACCAUGGAGACCCAACACUGAAAGAUGGGGAAAUCAAUGAGGAUGAGAUCACUUCCUCCCCAGAAUCAGUUGAAAAUUGACUCUGGAGCCAAGCAAUCCUGAAUACAAGUGGAUCCUGCCAACGCUGUGAAUAUUUGCAACCAACGUUUUCCUGCUAAACGAGUCUGUAAACGCUCCCGGCAUUCAGCCAGAGUUGUUUAGCUCCAGAAAGUCUGUCUUUAAACUACGAUGAAGUGGUCAUACCUUUUGGUGUUUUCAUCACUAUUAAAAUACAUUGAACAUGCGGUGGAUAUGGUGCUGGCCUCUCAUUGGAGGACCUCAAGGUAAACAGAUUUAUGGGGUGUGAAUAUAAGAUAAUGAGGAUGUUUUCUAUGAACUCGCUAUCAGGGCAAUGCCAACAAUGGUACCAACUAUAUUUUAAACAAUAACCUCAUCUUGGGGAUGAGUGUACAGGCUCCCACAGAGACUAUCUUGAAGGAAAAAAUAUAUUCGUUUGGUUAAGCGGUGAUCUGUGCAUUCAUCUAUCAAUUUCAUUUCCAUACAGUCACAAAUUUCUGGACUUUGUUAGGCAUAGGUCACUUUUGGAAAGUAAAUAUAUUCCAUUUGAAAGACUCUAAAACUUAGCCUUCAGCUUCUCUUUGCAGAGGCUUCUAAGCAGCUAAGUUCAACACAGGAGAGUUUUAGCCCAGGGUUUUAGAGAUAUUAAAGUUAUGAGGGUGAUAAAUGCAGAUAUAAUAUUCAAAGAGUUUAAGAGCUGGCAUUGGAGCCGGGCAGUCCUGGAGUAGAGCCGCUCACCAGCAUUGGCAGGUGAAAGGUGGAUUCGGGAUUACUGGGCUCUAGAGCUGAUUUUUGACCAUUUCUAUUUUCCGGAAAUGGCAAUUUCGCAUGAUUGGACUCAGUUCUAAGCUCUGUUGCCUUAGACUUGUGCCUGUAAUCAGAACCAUGAACCAAUAUUUGAUUUUAACAGGCAGGUUACAGUAGUUAGUGUGGUGAUAUAGAACAGAAGAUACGUAAUCAUUUAUACGUUCAGGAGUCUAGCACAUGCUUUUGAGUUCUGAGUAAGCGUCAUAAAAUAUAAAUACCAAAGCCC